CUGGUCAAUUAUGAGCAUUUCCUUCAUUGUCUACUCAUUGUGAAGAAUAGCAGUGCCCCAUUCUGCAGGUUCUGAAGCCGUACUCCAUCUUCUCAGCACCACUGGAACACCUCUUCACUUGUGCACUUCACAAAUUGCUGCAUGCCCUGCCAUCACAGAGUUAAUUUAACCAGCUGUUAAAAUGACUGUUAUAUUAGUAUUUUUCACCUAUGUGGUAUUACUUAAAAAGCUGAUGAUUAAAAAGAAGGUGAAAGAACAGGCUGAAAUAGUAAUUCACAGUGCAAAAAUGAUGAAGUGAUGAAGAAAUUAUAGCUUGUGAAGCCCAAAAAAGCCAAUCAGACCACCUACUGGACUUGUGACAGUUUCAUUAAGAUGAGAGACUGAAGAGAGAGAAAGAUGAUUGGGUUUUAAAAAUUGGUCUCCUGACAUGGGGGAUGCGGAGAAGCUGGGUUUGCACGUGGUGGCAGUGCUCUCCUGCACUGCUGGCAGCCCUGGCUGUCCCAGAUGCUGCUUCUGCCUGCAGAAGAUGGAGGGGGAGUGUGGGCUCUGGGGCUCAUUUUCUGCCUAAUAUUUUCUUAAUUCAUUUUAAAUACUCCUCCUCUGCACUCAUGGAGCUCUGCUAUUUUACAGCUUUUAUUAUUGUAUGAAGUUUCUCUUUGAAAAGAAAGAGAAGAAAGGAGGCACUGGAAAUGGCUGAACAUGUUUCUAUUUCAGAACGGUGGGAGCCUCUGUUAUUCAGUGUCCCUUGAGAUUACGGAUAGAUGGUGGAGAAGAUGUGAAUGAGACCAUAUUUGAUAGUUCAUUUCUGGCUGGCACAGCACUGCCACUCAUGGACCAUCUCCCUCCCUUCCUCCCUCCCUUCUUUCCUUCCUUCCUUGGUUCGUUCAUUCCUUCCUUGCUUCCUUCCUUCCUCUCAACUCUGUCACCAUCUGUAGUGUUUCUUUGCAGUAUGUUGCAACACAGACCUACUGGUCCUACUGCAGAUGUCGGAAGUUAGUGUAUAGUUUUAUUGUUAUCUGUAGAACAGCAGUGGGAACAUGGCUUUGUCAACUCAGUUUUGUUGUGGUUCCAUAGCAUUAACUGCCUUUCUCAAAGCUUCUGUCUGAAUUCCUAUGGCAUGCCAAGAACCUCAUCUUUUGUUCAUGUUAUGAAAGGAAUGUGUGGUUUUUCUGGUGGUGUGGAAGAACUUGACAGUGUGAACAAAACAAGGAUUUUGACAGAAAAAAAACAAGUUUUCUUUUGUCCAAGAAAACGCAAGGCGCUGUUGACCAGAUUUUUGCUGACCUCUAAUGGUCAACAUGGAGUGAAUUUCCAUAAUAAAGCAUUAAUGAGUGUG
rnacentral:lncRNA from 1 species